CUCAGAUUGAACGCUGGCGGCAGGCCUAACACAUGCAAGUCGAGCGGUAACAGGAAUUAGCUUGCUAAUUUGCUGACGAGCGGCGGACGGGUGAGUAAUUCCUAGGGAACUGCCCAGUCGAGGGGGAUAACAGUUGGAAACGACUGCUAAUACCGCAUACGCCCUACGGGGGAAAAGAGGGGACCUUCGGGCCUUCUGCGAUUGGAUGUACCUAGGUGGGAUUAGCUAGUUGGUGAGGUAAUGGCUCACCAAGGCGACGAUCCCUAGCUGGUCUGAGAGGAUGAUCAGCCACACUGGAACUGAGACACGGUCCAGACUCCUACGGGAGGCAGCAGUGGGGAAUAUUGCACAAUGGGCGAAAGCCUGAUGCAGCCAUGCCGCGUGUAUGAAGAAGGCCUUCGGUUGUAAAGUACUUUCUAGUUGUGAGGUAAGGGGUAACGGUUAAGUUAGCGUUAUCUCUUGACGUUUAGACAACAGAAGAAAGCACCGGCUAACUCCGUGCC
rnacentral:rRNA from 1 species